GAGAGCUUCAUUAGAAGUUCCAGGAUAUUCUCCAUGUUGUCAUCCCGAUCAUUAAUGAGGCGUUUAUCAAGCACAGGAGCCACCGUGGGCCCGUAAGGGGAAUCGGCCGCACAGGGUUCCAGGUUGCCCACAGUGAGGGAGCGGGCAGAAGAAGAAAACCACAGCAGUGCCAGCUCUGGAUUACAAGGUGCAAAACCAUCCAUGUGGUCGACGGACUGCACAGGGAGAAUUUCCUCAGGCCUCAGGAAGGUCUUCAAGGAAUCGCUGCUGAAAUGAGGAGUCACCCAGUUCUGAAGGGGAGAAGAACUUUCAAGCUGGAAGGUGUAACGUGAGAUUCCUCCGUGCUCGGCUGCUUGGGGGACCCAGGAAACUGUUGUGAGGUUGAUCAUUGGCUCUCCUGGAGGAUAAAGCUUCACUGCAGGAUUGGCACAUGUGGAGAUGUUUUAGACCAGGUCUAGUGGCCCCAACCAAGACUGAACUCACCGUGGCAAUACGGCCUGUAGGAUAUCUCCACAGAGGAACAGUUCACAGAAAUUCUCAACACGUGGGACGUAUGAGAGUGUCACUGCCGAGUUGCUCCAACUCACAAUGCCGUCUUGCUUGAAGAUGAGAGAACACGUCUUUAGUGCAGGUGUGGAGAUGUCAGCUGGCGCCAGCAAACAGGAAGAUGAGUAAAAGGCGAGGCAAAGAAAAAUGCUUUUGAGAAGGAGGCGAGCGCUUGACUGCGGCAUAUGACGAGAGGGCAGAAGUGAGAACGGGUAAAGUCUCAAUUGGGAAGGCCACACUUGUACGUCUACGCCGCAUGGUGUAUGGAUGCACAUGGCAAUGAAAAAGGUUGCCAUGGUUACCAGCAGUUCAUCCUUCACACAAAUCGGUCCCACUCGGGCAUUCACGUAGAAAAGGUGCAGAAGAUGGGGGAAGCGUGACUGACUGACAUGUCAGACUGAGCCAUUGUUUUCACUUCCCAGUUGAGCGUUGUUAUGUUCACGCCCACAAAGUGUGGUUCCCGCCAACACUCGACCUGUCAGA